GGACCUGUAAAAUUUUAAUUUACAUCCACUGAAUGCAACUCAGACACUUUAAUUAAGCUAAGACCCCC
rnacentral:tRNA from 1 species